UGAACGCUAGCGGCAGCACUACGGGUGGCGAGCGGCGAACUGGUGAGUAACGCGUAAGUUAUCUGCCCUUCAGACGAGGAUAGCCUUGAGAAAUCAAGAUUAAUACUCGAUAAGUGUAUACAUGAAAGGAGCGUUUGCUUCACUGAAGGAUGAGCUUGCGUCUGAUUAGCUAGAUGGUGAGGUAAAGGCUCACCAUGGCGACGAUCAGUAGCCGGCCUGAGAGGGUGAUC
rnacentral:rRNA from 1 species